CGCCGACGAGAUAUACACAGAAGAGAGACUGGAGGGAAUAAACAGCGAUAACUGGAGUUUCCUGUGACUUAAAAGUGUUUGGAGGGUUGCAGGUGGACUGUUUACACAGCCGUGGGAACUAAGGAAGUCUUAAGGACUGCCUGGACAUUGAUCUGACAUCAAUGAAGACGGUGGCUUCUUGAGAACUUACGGUACUAUACUAUGACUUUUUAUGACAUUGUCG